rnacentral:lncRNA from 1 species
GGGAGGCUGUGACUCUGAAAGGAAAACAUGUGGCUUUCUCUCCCUUACUUCUAACUAAAACUUAGAUUUCUUUUUGUUAUCACUGACAUUCCCAAAGGAAGGGGCUUAAAAUAUUAAUACCUGUCUUUGUCACCAACAAAAACCACAGAUUGAAUAUUGGACUGAAACAGUUCUAUUUGCAGCUGCUUUUCCACCUCCUGAAAUCAGCUCUUCAUUUUCCAGCAGAUGCAGGCCUCUCAGAAACAGGACACAUGUGAAGCAGAUCCAACCAAGCCUGGGCCUCCCACCAGGCAUGCACAUCCUAAGGGGACAGAGCGCAGCCAGCCCUCUCCAAGUCCUCCUCCAGGAGAAGAAUUGUGGAGACCACAUCCCGAAGAUGUGCUCACAAUGGGUAACACCCACUCCAAUGUCAUCCCUUGCAAACAUGCAGCUCUUCUGCCUGGACUCUUAUAAGCAGAGAUCAUCCUCCUUGUUGGAGAAAUGGAAAAAUGAAAAGAUCCCAGUGCCACUGAGAGUAUUAAGGCAGCAAAGGACUCUCGUACCUAGAGGUUGGGCCCAAUAUGUGACCACCUUCAAGGAUGCCCACAGGCAGUGGGUGCCAGGUGGCUGUGAUUUCUGUGGCUCCCAGAGGAACAGGCUGGCUUACCACUGGGUCAGGCUUGCCCAGCACAGGGACAAGUUGGGGACCUGAGGAGCAGGGAGCGGCAAUGCUGAUGUUCAAGUGGCUUAUGUGAGCUGAGCAGCCUUGGGGCAGCAUCUGAUCAGCCAUGAUCCACAGCACGAUGGCUACAGUCACUUAGUCCACAACUUCUGAGAUGGACUAAGUAAUAAAGAGGACUUCUGAGAACAGCCAGGUGGCAUUGGUCGCACACAUUAGACCUCAUCUUAUCCUUACUACAUCUGGGGAC